rnacentral:rRNA from 1 species
GACGAACGCUGGCGGCGUGCUUAACACAUGCAAGUCGAACGGAAAGGCCCUGCUUUUGUGGGGUGCUCGAGUGGCGAACGGGUGAGUAACACGUGAGUAACCUGCCCUUGACUUUGGGAUAACUUCAGGAAACUGGGGCUAAUACCGGAUAGGAGCUCCUGCUGCAUGGGGGGGGUUGGAAAGUUUCGGCGGUUGGGGAUGGACUCGCGGCUUAUCAGCUUGUUGGUGGGGUAGUGGCUUACCAAGGCUUUGACGGGUAGCCGGCCUGAGAGGGUGACCGGCCACAUUGGGACUGAGAUACGGCCCAGACUCCUACGGGAGGCAGCAGUGGGGAAUAUUGCACAAUGGGCGGAAGCCUGAUGCAGCAACGCCGCGUGCGGGAUGGCGGCCUUCGGGUUGUAAACCGCUUUCGCCUGUGACGAAGCGUGAGUGACGGUAAUGGGUAAAGAAGCACCGGCUAACUACGUG